rnacentral:rRNA from 1 species
GCUCAGGACGAACGCUGGCGGCGUGCUUAACACAUGCAAGUCGAACGAUGAUGCCCAGCUUGCUGGGUGGAUUAGUGGCGAACGGGUGAGUAACACGUGAGUAACCUGCCCCUGACUCUGGGAUAAGCGUUGGAAACGACGUCUAAUACUGGAUAUGAUCACUGGCCGCAUGGUCUGGUGGUGGAAAGAUUUUUUGGUUGGGGAUGGACUCGCGGCCUAUCAGCUUGUUGGUGAGGUAAUGGCUCACCAAGGCGACGACGGGUAGCCGGCCUGAGAGGGUGACCGGCCACACUGGGACUGAGACACGGCCCAGACUCCUACGGGAGGCAGCAGUGGGGAAUAUUGCACAAUGGGCGAAAGCCUGAUGCAGCAACGCCGCGUGAGGGAUGACGGCCUUCGGGUUGUAAACCUCUUUUAGUAGGGAAGAAGCGAAAGUGACGGUACCUGCAGAAAAAGCACCGGCUAACUACGUGCCAGCAGCCGCGGUAAUACGUAGGGUGCAAGCGUUGUCCGGAAUUAUUGGGCGUAAAGAGCUCGUAGGCGGUUUGUCGCGUCUGCUGUGAAAUCCCGAGGCUCAACCUCGGGCUUGCAGUGGGUACGGGCAGACUAGAGUGCGGUAGGGGAGAUUGGAAUUCCUGGUGUAGCGGUGGAAUGCGCAGAUAUCAGGAGGAACACCGAUGGCGAAGGCAGAUCUCUGGGCCGUAACUGACGCUGAGGAGCGAAAGCAUGGGGAGCGAACAGGAUUAGAUACCCUGGUAGUCCAUGCCGUAAACGUUGGGCGCUAGAUGUAGGGACCUUUCCACGGUUUCUGUGUCGUAGCUAACGCAUUAAGCGCCCCGCCUGGGGAGUACGGCCGCAAGGCUAAAACUCAAAGGAAUUGACGGGGGCCCGCACAAGCGGCGGAGCAUGCGGAUUAAUUCGAUGCAACGCGAAGAACCUUACCAAGGCUUGACAUACACCGGAAACGGCCAGAGAUGGUCGCCCCCUUGUGGUCGGUGUACAGGUGGUGCAUGGUUGUCGUCAGCUCGUGUCGUGAGAUGUUGGGUUAAGUCCCGCAACGAGCGCAACCCUCGUUCUAUGUUGCCAGCGGGUUAUGCCGGGGACUCAUAGGAGACUGCCGGGGUCAACUCGGAGGAAGGUGGGGAUGACGUCAAAUCAUCAUGCCCCUUAUGUCUUGGGCUUCACGCAUGCUACAAUGGCCGGUACAAAGGGCUGCGAUACCGUAAGGUGGAGCGAAUCCCAAAAAGCCGGUCUCAGUUCGGAUUGAGGUCUGCAACUCGACCUCAUGAAGUCGGAGUCGCUAGUAAUCGCAGAUCAGCAACGCUGCGGUGAAUACGUUCCCGGGCCUUGUACACACCGCCCGUCAAGUCAUGAAAGUCGGUAACACCCGAAGCCGGUGGCCUAACCCUUGUGGAAGGAGCCGUCGAAGGUGGGAUCGGUGAUUAGGA